rnacentral:rRNA from 1 species
GACGUAGGAGGCGAGCGUUGUCCGGAUUUAUUGGGCGUAAAGAGCUCGUAGGCGGUUUGUCGCGUCUGCUGUGAAAACUGGAGGCUCAACCUCCAGCCUGCAGUGGGUACGGGCAAACUAGAGUGCGGUAGGGGAGAUUGGAAUUCCUGGUGUAGCGGUGGAAUGCGCAGAUAUCAGGAGGAACACCGAUGGCGAAGGCAGAUCUCUGGGCCGUAACUGACGCUGAGGAGCGAAAGCAUGGGGAGCGAACAGG